CACUUUCGCAUAAAUAAAUAAAAAAAUAAAAUAUUAAUUAAAACUUACCUAUUCUUCUUCUUCUCUCACUAACACAAGUUACACAACACAAAUCAAAGCUUCUUUUUUCUUCUUUUGUCAGUUGUCACAACAUCAAAAUCAAAGGCACUGCAUCAACAGGGGCGACGCCGUGCCGGUGAAGACAUUGUUCUUGUUCACGGCUUCGACGACGCGUCGUCUUUGACAACAACUUUAACAACGGGUUCGACGACAUCGACAACUUUGUUCACGGUUUUGAUGGCGAAUACAGUGUUGUUUCCUUCUCCCACGGUUACAUAAGCAUAAAUAAAAAAUGGAGCUAUAUAAUGGUUAAACUUAAGAAGAUCGAUUUAUUUUUCAAAAGGAAAGUUUUUAAUAAAGAUGAAAUUGUAUAGUUUCAUCAUCGAUACUUAAGGAGCAAGUUUCCGGUGAUCAAACCAUUCAAGUUCAAUCAGAUGAGCAACUUCGCAAGAUUCAAAAAGUCACAAUGGAAGCAUUUGAUAUCAAUUGUUUAGAACGUGAUCCCGGUAAACGUCUUCAAAUUUGGGAAUAUCCAGUAAAUCAAAGAGAUGAAGUUCGAAGAGCUUAUCUUAAUUGGGGUCCCUAUCAAUGCUAAGUUGAAAACUUUUCCCUUAAUGGAGAUAAAUAUUCAAGACGUUUUCAAGCAUAUUGGUUUAAAAUCUUCCUUUCACGACUAGAGUAUUCUCCAACUAAUGAUGUUGCUUAUUGUUUACUUUGUUACUUGUUUAAUAAAAAAACAAGUGGACAUCCCGAAGCUGACGUCUUUAUUUGAAAAGGAUUUAAAGUAUGGAGAGAGGUCAAUGUCAGAAAGAAAUGUGUUUUUCUUAAUAAUAUUGGAGGGAGUUCUUGUUCACCUCACAAUAUUGCUUUGAAAUAUUCUCAAAAGACUUGUUCAAUCAAUCAACUCACAUCAUAAAUUUUCUUAAUGUGCAUGUGUCGAUCAAGUCAUCCAAAAAAGACUUCGUCUCAAGAGCUCUAUUGAUUCCAUUUGUUGGCUUGUAUUUCUAGUUUGUUCCUUUAGAGGCCAUGAUGAAUCACUUCGUUCGAAAAAUAGAGGUAACUUUUUUUGAAAUGGUAAAACUCUUAGCAUCAUACAAGGACGAACUUGCAAAAGUUGUACUAGAGAAUGCUCCAUAUAAUUCAAAGUAUACUUAUCACUCAGUUCAAAAGGAAAUUAUGUGAGUGUAACUUUCCAUUAGAUGUGUUUUGCAUGAUGUUAAAACUAGGAUACUUUAGCGUUAAUGUAUAUUGGACGGUAUCCUCAAUUUCUCAUUUUAUACAUUUUAUUUUUAUUUUGUACUAUUUUAGUUAAUAUUUUAGUUAAUACUUUUCAUCUUU